CAGUUUCUGUACGAUCAUCGAAGUUAAGCAACGUCGAGCCUGCUCAGUACCUAGAUGGGUGACCGCUCGGGAAUACCAGGU